rnacentral:antisense_RNA from 1 species
GACCAGGGAGCGGGCAGCCGUUGCCGGCCGGGCUGCAUGGACGCAGGAAAGUUGGCUAGGCACCCGACAGACAGGGCUCCGAGCGGGCAGUGCCGGCGCUCGCGGAAAUAAGGCCGUGGUGGGCCCCUCCCCUCCGCCCCCAGGGCGAAGAUAAUUGUGAAACACCUACUCUGCCAGGCCCUGGGGGAAUGAGGGUGAACAAUCUUAAACAUCUCUGCCUUCCUGGAGCACACCUUCUAGGUUGCACAGUGGCUCAGAGAGUAGACUUGGAGCCAGGCUGCCCGGUUUGUAGCCCUGCUUGACCUGUGUGAUCUGAGAAUAAUCUUGUUUAAUCUCCACAAGUUUGAGGACUAAACUGGGUGCCAGAGAGAAUUAAGUAACUUGUCAAGGUUGCAUCAGUAACAGGGGAGCAGGGAAGAGAUUCAAGCUCAGCUUACGCUUGGCAAUCCUCUAGGGAGGACUUUGGCUGAACCCAGUGAACCAGGAGGAAAAGAAUCACAAACGUCUGGAGUUUGUUGACUAGAAAAAUUCCCUGUGGUCUGACAGAUUACCAUUUCCCACCCAGCCAUUUUCAUCAGAGAAACUAGUCUCAUUUUCAACUGGCGCAGCUAGUUGAAAGUUCUGCAUGUUUCCCCGGAAAAUGGCAUAGCCAGAAGGUCCUCACCAGAUUCCAGCACCAGCCUCCAGAACGUGAGCCAAAUAAAUCAUUGUUUAUAAAUUA